rnacentral:lncRNA from 1 species
GAGUCAUCCCAAUGACUGUGACGAAGGAACUGUUACCUCAAUUUAAACCAAUCAUUUAAAUACUAAUAGCAUGGACAAUGAUAAUGACUGGUCCAUAGAAGGUACCAAUUAAAUUAGACUCAUUUUCUUUCAUUUACCUUCUCAGUACCUGAUGUCACAAGCUCAUUAUGAGGUCAUGGGGCUCCUGAAGAUAAACUCACGUGUUUGUUAAAACCUUGCUAAAGUUUAUUAAAGCUUGUCAAAGAAGAUUCUGAUUUGCUGAGACUGCUUUAAAACAUCUGACUCAAGACAAAUAAAUCCCAUUUGUUGCACGCAUGUGUGCCAGGCACUGAGCUAGGGAUUUUAUAUACGUUGUCUCAUUUGAGCUGAGAAGGACCAGCAGGGGAGCGUCCCAUGUGCCCAACUUUGGAGCAGGCAUCUCCACACCUCUCCUCUCUGCACACAGCCCUUCUUUCAAGCUCCAGGAGAGUCUGUGACAAGGAGUGGGCUCCCUCUGCAAGACAUCUUGAUUCCUUUGAAGAAAGGCAGCCAGGAAAUGUGAAGCAUGGUGAUGGUGGCCUUUUCAGGAGUGGGUGGGCUGUUUUAUUACUAAGAGUUGAGUGACAGGCUUCCCAGCAGACUCGAAAGACAGAACAUCCUUCUUACUGCUGGGUUGAUGAACAUGCUAUCCAUCUGCCUGAAACUUUCCUCCCUGGAUGGAUGGAUGAAGGAAUGAACAACUAGGACCUGAAUUCAUAGCUCAUUUCAUUAGAAGUCAUUGCCUCAUUGGGUUAGUGUUCAUUCGAUCAAUUCAAAUUACCUCUAAUUCCCCCAAGUUAUAAUUUCUCUAGCUUGACUUUAUCACUUGCUUGAGAUUUUCCAAUUGUAACCUUUGGGUCUGAAAUAAU